AAGUAAAUGUGAUUUUUGACACUCUUUACAGAAGCCCUCCAGUCCCAGGGUGCUUUUGGGGAGCACUGUACUCUGUGGGGCUGUCCUUGAUCCAAUUCAGGUUCAGAUGUUGCUGGCUGACUUGGCUGCCUUCAGACUCCUGAGUAUUUCUGGAUGUGAUUGAUACAGAAGGCCUCAAGUACUUUAAGUGAUACAACCAACCUAGAUGACAAGAGUAUGCUGCAUGGUAAAGAACUUGCCUCAAAGUCCACACGACAGAAGGAGGAAGGAAUUGAUACUCACAGAAAAUUUAGCUGCUGAGACACUUAUGAGACCUGAUAGUAAAAAAGCUUUGUUCUGGAGAAACAAAACAAAAGCACUCAGGAAGGAUAUGAGCUUAGCCAGGCGGAUGAACCAUGUGUAA
rnacentral:lncRNA from 1 species